UAGGGAAUCUUCCGCAAUGGGCGAAAGCCUGACGGAGCAACGCCGCGUGAGUGAUGAAGGCCUUCGGAUCGUAAAACUCUGUUAUUAGGGAAGAACAAAUGUGUAAGUAACUAUGCACGUCUUGACGGUACCUAAUCAGAAAGCCACGGCUAACUACGUGCCAGCAGCCGCGGUAAUACGUAGGUGGCAAGCGUUAUCCGGAAUUAUUGGGCGUAAAGCGCGCGUAGGCGGUUUUUUAAGUCUGAUGUGAAAGCCCACGGCUCAACCGUGGAGGGUCAUUGGAAACUGGAAUACUUGAGUGCAGAAGGGGAAAGUGGAAUUCCAUGUGUAGCGGUGAAAUGCGCAGGGAUAUAGAGGAACACCAGUGGCGAAGGCGACUUUCUGGUCUGUAACUGACGCUGAUGAGCGAAAGCGUGGGGAUCAAACAGG
rnacentral:rRNA from 1 species